GACGAACGCUGGCGGCGUGCUUAACACAUGCAAGUCGAACGAAGAGCGAUGGAAGCUUGCUUCUAUCAAUCUUAGUGGCGAACGGGUGGGUAACGCGUAAUCAACCUGCCCUUCAGAGGGGGACAACAGUUGGAAACGACUGCUAAUACCGCAUACGAUCUAAUCUCGGCAUCGAGGAUAGAUGAAAGGUGGCCUCUACAUGUAAGCUAUCACUGAAGGAGGGGAUUGCGUCUGAUUAGCUAGUUGGAGGGGUAACGGCCCACCAAGGCGAUGAUCAGUAGCCGGUCUGAGAGGAUGAACGGCCACAUUGGGACUGAGACACGGCCCAGACUCCUACGGGAGGCAGCAGUGGGGAAUCUUCCGCAAUGGACGAAAGUCUGACGGAGCAACGCCGCGUGAGUGAUGACGGCCUUCGGGUUGUAAAGCUCUGUUAAUCGGGACGAAAGGCCUU
rnacentral:rRNA from 1 species